GUAGCGCUCUCAUCGGCUUUCCGGAAUACCCGGAUGGAAGGGUAAUGGCCGCCAUGAGGGACUCGCAGGCAGUGGGGAC
rnacentral:miRNA from 1 species